CUGUACCCUAUUAUUUUUGAACGUUGGACCGGAUAACCCCCAAAUCCCUUUGGAAAAUAACCCUUUCCGUAAAUGUGUCCUACUAAAUGCAAUCUAAGUUUCGAGAACAGUCUAAUUACUAAUCCAUCACGAUCUGAUCCAUAAAAUAAAUCUCAUUCAGUCAGCUCUUCCUCCACUCAAAUGACUUAAAAUUAGUCAAAGACCCACGCAUUGCGCGGGAUUGAAUGUACAAAAAAAAAAUUUCUUCU
rnacentral:lncRNA from 1 species